rnacentral:lncRNA from 1 species
UUAGUCACUAAGUUGUGUUUGACACUUUUUGCAACCCCAUGGACUGUAACCCAUCAGGCUCCUCUGUCCAUGGGAUUUCCCAGACAAGAAUACUGGAAUGGGUUUCUAUUUUCCUUCUCCAGGGGAUCUUUCUGACCCACAUUGAUACCCACAUCUUCUGCAUUGGCAGCUGGGUUCUUUUCCACUGAGCCACCAGAGAAGCCCCAUAUGUCAAGCAACAAAUCAACAGAAAUUCAUGUGAAAAUCAUUGACCACCAUAUGCUGCUCCAGCUUCCUUCAGCUCCUAAUUCUAGGAGCUUGACAACUAAAGCAAACCACAGACAGCCACAGGCACUCACUGCCAGCCCUGACAAAAAAAAUCACAAAAGUCGCCUCACAGGGAUUUUAUGGCUUUGGAUUGAACCACGAAGUAUUGGAUAUAUUUCAUACAAAAGCACUAUGGAAUGCAACUCAGUACAAGCAAGUCAUUCACAGUUUCAGAUGAUGGUGAUGAUGAUGAUGAUGAUUUUGGUCCUAGUUCCAUUAAAGGCCAAGACAUCUCCAGAUGACUACAGAAAUACUACCUUAAUAAUAAGAAAAAACUUGUUUCAUUAAGAGACUUCUUGUAGAUUUCCCACUGAGUUUUGUUUAUGUAUCCUAUGCUGCUGCUGCUGAUGAUGCUAAGUCGCUUCAGUCGUGUCCGACUCUGUGCAACCCCAUAGAUGGCAGCCCACCAGGCUCCCCCAUCCCUGGGAUUCUCCACGCAAGAAUACUGGAGUGGGUUGCCAUUUCCUUCUCCAAUGCAUGGAAGUGAAAAGUGAAAGUGAAGUCUCUCAGUCGUGUCCGACUCUUCGCGACCCCAUGGACUGCAGCCCACCAGGCUUCUCCGUCCAUGGGAUUUUCCAGGCAAGAGUACUGGAGGGGGUUUCCACUGCCUUCUCCCAGGUCCUAUCAAAUUCAGAGUCUAUUUUCUCUUGGCAAAAGCAAAAAAAUAAAUCAUAAUAGAGACAAAGAUAAGGAAUAUGU